AGCUCCAAUAGCGUAUAUUAACGUUGCUGCAGUUAAAAAGCUCGUAGUUGCAUUUCCGAGGCAAGGGAUUAGUCCGACCUUUGGUGGGUAUUUAAUCCUCUUGCCUCGUCCUUGAGUGGUGCUUCUUGGUAUUAAGUUAUCGAGGAGAUAGCCGCUCAUCGUUUACUGUGAGAAAAUUAGAGUGUUCAAAGCAGGCUUAUGCCGUUGAAUAUAUUAGCAUGGAAUAAUAAGAUAGGACCUCGGUACUAUUUUGUUGGUUUGAGAACCAAGGUAAUGAUGAAUAGGGACAGUUGGGGGUAUUCGUAUUCAGUUGUCAGAGGUGAAAUUCUUAGAUUUACGGAAGACGAACUACUGCGAAAGCAUUUACCAAGGAUGUUGUCA
rnacentral:rRNA from 1 species